GCUUAACGCGAAGAACCUUACCAGGCCUUGACAUGAGACGUAUGGACUUCAGAGAUGAGGUUCUUCAGUUCGGCUGGCGUCCACACAGGUGCUGCAUGGCUGUCGUCAGCUCGUGUCGUGAGAUGUUGGGUUAAGUCCCGCAACGAGCGCAACCCUCAUCUUCAGUUGCCAUCAUUUAGUUGGGCACUCUGAAGAAACUGCCGGUGACAAGCCGGAGGAAGGCGGGGAUGACGUCAAGUCCUCAUGGCCCUUACGGGUUGGGCUACACACGUGCUACAAUGGUGGUGACAAUGGGGAGCGAGGCCGCGAGGCCAAGCCAAUCUCAAAAAGCCAUCUCAGUUCGGAUUGCACUCUGCAACUCGAGUGCAUGAGGUUGGAAUCGCUAGUAAUCGCGCAUCAGCAUGGCGCGGUGAAUACGUUCCCGGGUCUUGUACACACCGGGGGGUCUUGGUACACAGGUCGGU
rnacentral:rRNA from 1 species